UACGGGGGGGGCAAGCGUUGCUCGGAAUUACUGGGCGUAAAGGGCUCGUAGGUGGCCAACUAAGUCAGACGUGAAAUCCCUCGGCUUAACCGGGGAACUGCGUCUGAUACUGGAUGGCUUGAGUUCGGGAGAGGGAUGCGGAAUUCCAGGUGUAGCGGUGAAAUGCGUAGAUAUCUGGAGGAACACCGGUGGCGAAGGCGGCAUCCUGGACCGACACUGACACUGAGGAGCGAAAGCCAGGGGAGCAAACGGG
rnacentral:rRNA from 1 species